UGUGGGAGCGGGCUUGCUCGCGAAAGCCGGUGGCUCAGUCGACAUCAAUGUUGAAUGUCAGUCCGCAUUCGCGAGCAAGCCCGCUCCCACA
rnacentral:misc_RNA from 1 species